UACGUAGGGCGCAAGCGUUUGUCCGGAAUUAUUGGGCGUAAAGAGCUCGUAGGCGGUCUGUCGCGUCGGCUGUGAAAACCCGGGGCUCAACCCGGGCCUGCAGUCGAUACGGGCAGACUAGAGUGCGGUAGGGGGAGACUGGAAUUCCUGGUGUAGCGGUGAAAUGCGCAGAUAUCAGGAGGAACACCGGUGGCGAAGGCGGGUCUCUGGGCCGUAACUGACGCUGAGGAGCGAAAGCGUGGGGAGCGAACAGG
rnacentral:rRNA from 1 species